UAAACCACUGGCUGCACCGGCUCCUGCCUCCAAUGGUUCUGCUACAGCUCCUGGUGUUCCUCCAAGGCCAUUGCCACCUCCACCUCAAGCACCACCACCACCACCACCUCAAGCACCUCCACCUUCUGCUCCACCUCCGGUCAUGAAUCCUCCUAGGCCUCCACCACCUGCACCAACUAUGGUGGGCUCACAACCUCCCCCUCCGCCACCAGUGGCAAAUGGUCCUCCCCGGCCAGUACCACCACCACCUAUGGGUGGCAGUGCGAUGGCAAACUUCACACCAGGUGUUCAAGCUCCUCGACCACCAAUGCAAGGUUUCGCUGGACAGCCAAUGCAAGGCCAAGUUUCGCACCC
rnacentral:lncRNA from 1 species